rnacentral:rRNA from 1 species
AUUGAACGCUGGCGGCAGGCCUAACACAUGCAAGUCGAGCGGAGCGGCGGACGGGUGAGUAAUGCCUAGGAAUCUGCCUGGUAGUGGGGGAUAACGUCCGGAAACGGGCGCUAAUACAGCAUACUAUCAGAUGAGCCUCGGUCUGAUUAGCUGGUUGGUGGGGUAAAGGCCUACCAAGGCGACGAUCCGUAACUGGCCUGAGAGGAUGAUCGGUCACACUGGAACUGAGCCACGGUCCAUACUCCUACGGGAGGCAGCAGUGGGGAAUAUGGGACAAUGGGCGAAAGCCUGAUCCAGCCAUGCCGCGUGUGUGAAGAAGGUCUUCGGAUCGUAAAGCACUUUAAGUUGGGAGGCGUUACCAACAGAAUAAGCACCGGCUAACUUCGUGCCAGCAGCCGCGGUAAUUC